GACGAACGCUGGCGGCGUGCUUAACACAUGCAGGUCGAGCGGUAAGGCCCUUUCGGGGGUACGACGAGCGGCGAACGGGUGGAGUAACACGUGGGUGACCUGCCCUCCAGCUCUGGGAGUAAGCCUGGGAAACCGGGUCUAAUACUGGAUAUGACUCCAUGACGCAUGUUGUGGGGUGGAAAGCCUUGUGCGGCUGAGGAUGGGCCCGCGGCCUAUCAGCUUGUUGGUGGGGUGAUGGCCUACCAAGGCGACGACGGGUAGCCGGCCUGAGAGGGCGACCGGCCACACUGGGACUGAGACACGGCCCAGACUCCUACGGGAGGCAGCAGUGGGGAAUCUUGCGCAAUGGGCGAAAGCCUGACGCAGCGACGCCGCGUGAGGGAUGACGGCCUGGUGUAAC
rnacentral:rRNA from 1 species